rnacentral:lncRNA from 1 species
AUUUUUUUUUUCAGUGCACUGAUGCUUUUUAAAGGAACAGUUGUCAAAAAUUAAAAUAUGUUGAAAAUGUACUCACCCUCAGGCCAUCCAAGUUCUAGAUGAGUUUGUUUCUUCAUUGGAACAGAUCUGAAGAAAGAGUUAUUAUGGAUUUUGAACUGGUAUUUUGACCAGAUGGAGUAAAAAAACAUGGAUUUUGGGUAAGUUAUUCAGGGAAGGAGUUACUUGCAUCUCACUGUUGAGGAAUGUGAAUUAAAAGCUUCAGCUUCAGCAAAUUUAAAAAGGAGCCCAAUGAUUUGAAAUAAAAUUAAAACAAACAUGUGUGUCUUAUAAACAUGCAGCUUUUAAUUUCACAAGACAUUAACUGAUGGACUGGAGUCGUGUGGAUUACUUGUGGAUUAUUGUGAUGUUUUUAUCAGCUGUUUGGACUCUCAUUCUGACGGCAGCCAUUCACUGCAGAGGAUCCACUGGUGAGCAAGUGAUCUAAUGCUACAUUUCUCCAAAUCUGUUCCGAUGAAGAAACAAGAUAAUCUACAUCUUGGAUGGCCUGAGGAUGUGCUCUCUACGAUGUAUAAACAAUCAGUUUUAAUCGACAACUUAAUUUUUUGGCUCAAACGUAGAGUGGUGUGUUAUGCAUUAGCAUCGUGCACAUUGAUUCCCAAUGAGCCAAUCGCACAUGCUUAUGCACUCAGAUGAAUGCGUCAAGCACUUAAUUGUUCAUUGGUUGACUGUAACAAAUGAAGCUUGGCUUAAGGCCACAGCGAGGGUCCAGGAUAACAGUUAAUAGCGAGAUCUGCUGCAGGAGAUUGUCAGAUGUUUGGUCAUCUGUUUUAUUUACUGUUUUCAUUAAUUUAUCUUACCAAUGACAAUUCCAGAUGGAACUUAGUAUUUAGUGUCAACUAAAUGUGAUUUGAUUUAUUUAGUACAUGAUAAUAGCAGUGAAGGUGGUAGACUUUAAAUAGACCUCUAUUCAUGUCUAUUCAUAUGCAUGCAAAGUGGAUAAAAAAAAAAAACACGGUAACACUUUCUAUGAAGCCCGUAUUUAUAAUACAUUAUAAGGGUAUUCUUAAGGCAUUAUAACGAAUGCACA